rnacentral:rRNA from 1 species
AUUGAACGCUGGCGGCAGGCCUAACACAUGCAAGUCGAACGAGUGGCGGACGGGUGAUUAAUGUCUGGGAAACUGCCUGAUGGCGGGGGAUAACUACUGGAAACGGUAGCUAAUACCGCCUACCAUCGUAUGUGCCCAGAUGGGAUUAGAUAGUAGGUGGGGUACCGGCUCACCUAGGCGACGAUCCCUAGCUGGUCUGAGAGGAUGACCAGCCACACUGGAACUGAGACACGGUCCAGACUCCUACGGGAGGCAGCAGUGGGGAAUAUUGGACAAUGGGCGCAAGCCUGAUGCAGCCAUGCCGCGUGUAUGAAGAAGGCCUUCGGGUUGUAAAGUACUUUCAUCGGGGAGGCGUUACCCGCAGAAGAAGCAACGGCUAACUACGUGCCAGCCGCCGCGGUAAUUC